rnacentral:rRNA from 1 species
GAUCCUGGCUCAGGAUGAACGCUAGCGACGGGCUUAACACAUGCAAGUCGAGGGGCAGCGGGGGAUAAGCUUGCUUUUCCUGCCGGCGACCGGCGCACGGGUGAGUAACACGUAUGCAACCUGCCCCUGUCAGAGGGAUAAUCCGGAGAAAUCCGGUCUAAUAUCGCAUAAAGCGUUUGCGGGGCAUCCUGCGAGCGCCAAAGGAGUAAUCCGGACAGGGAUGGGCAUGCGGCGCAUUAG